GAAUUAAGUUUUAUUUAUAAAUUUUUAAAGUUAUAUUUAUAAGAAAUAGAAAAAAUAAAAUUUUUUAGUAUUAGGAUUAGAAAAUAGAAAAAAUUUUUUUAUGUACUGAAAAGGAAAAUAUUAUUUUUAUUUUAGUAAAAUUGGAAAUUUGUACCUUUUGCAUAAUGGGUUAAUAAUAUUUAAUGAUGUAUAAUAAAAAUCUCGAAAUAAAAAGAUUUAUCUAUUAUAUAUAUAUAUAUAUAUAUAUAUAUAUAUAUAUAUUUAGUUAACGUUGUAAAGUUAUUAAAUUAAUAAUAGAUGGUAGUGAAAUGCUAUACGAUUUUUAUGGUAGCUAGUUUAUUAAUAAUAACAUUUUAGUGUUAAGUACUAUUUUUUUAUAAUUAAUAAAAUAGUAUUUUAUAUAUAGGGGAUAAGCUCUAUAUAAUUAUAGGAAUUGAUAUAAAUAUAUAAUUUAAGUUUUAUUAAUAUUUUUCUUUUUGAUUAUAAAAUUUAAUAUGGUUCUUUAAAUUAGUUAAUAAAUUUUUUUUAAUUAUUAUGAAAAAAUUAUAAUGUUAAUAUGAGUAGAUAGAAAUAAUGAUAUUAAUUACAAAAUAUAAUAUUUUUUAAUUAUUAUAUUAAUAUUUAUUUAUUUUAUUUAAGUAAUAUAAAGGAAUUCAGCAAAUACUAAUUUCGCCUGUUUAACAAAAACAUGUCUCUUUGAGUGAAGAUAAUAAAGAGUUGGGCCUGCUCGGUGAAUAAAUUUUAACAGCUGCGGUUUAAUAUCUGUACUAAGGUAGCAUAAUAAUUUGUCUUAUAAAUUGAGACUAGAAUGAAUGGUUUGACGAAAAUUAUACUGUCUCUAUUAUAUUUUUUUGAAAUUAAUUUUUAAAGUGAAAAAGCUUAAAUUUUUUAAAGGGACGAGAAGACCCUAUUGAGCUUAUAUUAAUAAGAUAAUAUAAUAAAUUUAUUAUUUUUUUUUAAUUUUGGUUGGGGUGAUCAAGGAAAUAAAAAUAAAUAACUUCCUUAAUUAUAUUUAUCUGUUAGGAUAAUAAACAAAAUGUAUUUCUUUUAUGAUAAGUUACCAUAGGGAUAACAGCGUAAUUUCUUUUGAGAGUUCUUAUUAAAAAAGAAGAUUGCGACCUCGAUGUUGGAUUAAAAUUAACCUUAAGGUGGAGAAGCUUUAUUUGGUAAAUCUGUUCGAUUUUUAAAAUUUUACAUGAUCUGAGUUCAAACCGGUGUAAGCCAGGUUGGUUUUUAUCUUUUAAAAAUUAUGUUAUAUUUAAUUUAGUACGAAAGGAAUAAUUAGAAAUAAUUAUAAUAGAAUUAUUUAAGAUAAUAUAUAAAGUUGGCAGAAUAUAUGCAAAUAAUUUAGAAUUAUUU
rnacentral:rRNA from 1 species